AACGAACGCUGGCGGCAGGCCUAACACAUGCAAGUCGAACGCUCCGCAAGGGGAGUGGCAGACGGGUGAGUAACACGUGGGAAUCUUCCUAUCGGUACGGAAUAGCUCAGGGAAACUUGGGGUAAUACCGCAUACGCCCUUCGGGGGAAAGAUUUAUCGCCGAUAGAUGAGCCCGCGUCUGAUUAGCUAGUUGGUGAGGUAAUGGCUCACCAAGGCGACGAUCAGUAGCUGGUUUGAGAGAAUGACCAGCCACACUGGGACUGAGACACGGCCCAGACUCCGACGGGAGGCAGCAGUGGGGAAUCUUGGACAAUGGGCGCAAGCCUGAUCCAGCCAUGCCGCGUGAGUGACGAAGGUCUUCGGAUUGUAAAGCUCUUUUGCCAGGGACGAUAAUGACGGUACCCACAGAAAAAGCCCCGGCUAACUUCGUGCCAGCCGCCGCCGUAA
rnacentral:rRNA from 1 species